CUGAAUCCUGGCCUAGCUUCUGGGAGGUGCAAGGAACCGAGUGACUCACCACAGCGUCUGCUGCGUCAUCAGGAAAGAGGGUGCCCGAGGACAGAGGCUAGACUGGAAUUUCAAGUUUCUGAAUUCUGACCUCGGCCGGCUCACUGGCUGUCUCUACAUGGGGCUACAUUUUGACUGUGGUAUAUAGAAGUCAUUGCCUGCCAACAGCCUACCACAGUCUUGGGAAUGAACUCUGACAAACUUACCAUCAGGACCGCCGAUGCAUCCCAUCGAGGAUGGAAGAACGGGGCUCCAAACUUUGUUACACUCUUCUUGAAAGCAGGUAUUCCUGGUUUCUUUUUGUUUGGGUUACCUUGGAAGGUGACCAACUUCUUGAAAUGCUGGCCCUUCAGGAUUUGGCC
rnacentral:lncRNA from 1 species